rnacentral:rRNA from 1 species
GACGAACGCUGGCGGCGUGCUUAACACAUGCAAGUCGAACGGGAUUUAGUAGACAGAAGCCUCGGCUAAAGAAUACUAAUGAGAGUGGCGAACGGGUGAGUAACGCGUGAGCAACCUGCCUAUGACAGUGGGAUAGCCUCGGGAAACCGGGAUUAAUACCGCAUAAAAUCGUAGAAACACAUGUUUCAACGGUCAAAGAUUUAUCGGUCAUAGAUGGGCUCGCGUCUGAUUAGCUAGUUGGUGAGAUAACAGCCCACCAAGGCGACGAUCAGUAGCCGGUCUGAGAGGAAGAACGGCCACAUUGGAACUGAGACACGGUCCAAACUCCUACGGGAGGCAGCAGUGGGGAAUAUUGCACAAUGGGGGAAACCCUGAUGCAGCGACGCCGCGUGAACGAAGAAGGUAUUCGUAUCGUAAAGUUCUGUCCUAUGGGAAGAUAAUGACAGUACCAUAGAAGAAAGCUCCGGCUAAAUACGUG